rnacentral:misc_RNA from 1 species
AUAACUUUCAGUGGGGAGCCUAAAUUAGAAGGGCCAACCCUCUGUCUCAUCACCCGAGGGGAACCAGAUGUACUUCUUGGUGAUAGAGGAGGAGCACUUCCAGCAGGAAAUAUAGAAGGCAGUGAAUUGCUAGCAGAAGCAUGAGGACUAGAAGAAUUUCCAGGCACAUUCAAGGGUACACCAGCCUUUGCAUCGUUUAACAAUGACGUCACCAGACGAUUAGUGCCAGGAAGCGAAAGCCACUGCUCAAACAGCUUCUCAACAAAAUCAGGAUUGG